AUGCUCCCGGCGCAUCCCGGGGCGAGCGGCCCCAAACGGGCCGGGCCUGCUCAGGUGCGCGGGGCGGGACCGGGGGAUUCAAACCCCGGAGCCGCCCCGGCCUCCUGGGCUCGUUCAGCGCUCGGUGCGGGAGCAGCGGCCGGGCCGGGCUCCUCCGGGGGUCCAAGGUUGUGCUGGAUGACUUCAAAGUCCCAGACUGAAGCCACACAGAGGAUUGAAGGCAGCACCAAGAUAUUGUAGGACUGUCUCCAAACAGAUCGCACUGCAAAGAGGGUUUUCCAGCUGGAGGAAACCUCCAGCAGGGAGUUCACAC
rnacentral:lncRNA from 1 species